GGGGACAUGGCUCAGGGUAGAGCACUUGCCUGGCAUGCACGAGGCUCUGGGUUCCACCCCAGUACCUUCA
rnacentral:tRNA from 1 species